CUGAUCUCAUCCCUCACACCCUGCCUGCCUGGAAGAAGGGAGCAGUGUCCUGCAUGCUCUUCCAUGCUUUGCCAGCCAGAGCUCCCCCAAAAGCAGCUUUCCUGUGAUACCUCCUGGGGCACAAAGUGUCUGAUCCCACCAAGGUGAGGGUUAGCAUUUUGCUAAGCUGAAUUUUCAUACUCAGACAAGGUGGGAACGGAAUGAAGCUCAUUCGUUUUACUUUAGGAAGAGUUAAAAGCUCAUGAAGGAUGAACCUCAUUCUGGACAAGAAGCCCCCAAGGCCCUGCACAGGCACCCAAGGCUGGCCUUUGUCUGGGCAGGGAAGAUGGUGCUUUUACUGCUGACCAGCGCUAUACUUGAAGCUCCCUGUGGCAGGCAGAAUUCUAAGAAUCACCCCCAAAGACCCUUCUUUGUAUUGCCCCCUUCCCUAUGAGUGUGGGUGGAUCCUGGGAGUAAUGAUGAGAUCCCACUCCAUAACUGUUUCAUUAUAAGGUGAAGAAAGAUUGUCUAGCAGGCCUGAUGGAUCACAUAAGCCCUCUAAAAGCAGAGCUGUCUUCAGCUAGUCACAGAAGAGGAUGUCAGCGAUUGGAAGCACAAAUAGGAUUUGAUGAACAAUUGCUGGCUUGAAGAUGAAGGCCCCAUGGCAAGUAAUGGGAGCAGCUUCUAGAAGCUGAGAGCAGCCCCUACCUCACAGCCAGCAAGGAAAUGGUGACCUUGGUUCUACAACCCCAAGGAACUGAAUCUGGCCAACAACUUGAGUGAACUUUGAAGCAAUUCUUUUUCAGAUCCUCCCAAUAAAAGCCGUGCCUGGCCAGUACUUUGAUUGCAACUUGGCAAAAUCCUGAGCAGAGAAUCUAGUCAAGCCUGCCCUGACUUCUGACAUCUUGGAUUGUGAGAUAAGAGAUGGCACUACCAAAAAAAAAAAAAUCCUCAACAAAAUGUUAGCAAACUGAAUCCAGCAGCACAUCAAAAAACUAAUCCACCAUGAUCAAGUAGGCUUUAUUCCUAGGAUGCAAGGUUGAUUCAACAUACACAAAUCAAUAAAUGUGAUUCAUCGCAUAAACAAAACUAAAAACAAAAGCCAUAUGAUUAUCUCAAUAAAUGCAGAAAAUACUUUCAAUAAAAUCCAACAUAACUUUAUGUUAAAAAAACCCUCAACAAAUGAAGCAUUGAAGGAACAUACUUCAAAAUAAUAAAAGCCACCUAUGACAAACCCACAGCCGACAUCAUAUGGAGUGGGCAAAAGCAUUCCUCCUAAAAACUGGAACAAGACAAGGAUGCCCUCUUUCACCAUGCCUAUUUGACAUAGUAUUGGAAGUCAUAGCAAGAGGAAUCAGGCAAGAGAAAAAAAUAAAGGAUAUCCAAACAGGAAAAGAGGAAGUCAAACUAUCCCUGUUUGCAGAGAAUAUAAUUCUAUAUCUAGAAAACUCCAUACAGUCUUUGCCCAAAAUCCCCUUGAUCUGAUAAAGAACUUCAGCAAACUUUCAAGAUACAAAAUAAAUGUACAAAAUUCAGUAGCAUUUCUCUAUACCAAUAACGUGCAAGCUCAGAGCCAAAUCAAGAAUGCAAUCCCAUUAACAAUAGCCACAGUAAGAAUAAAAUAUCUAGGAAUACAGCUAGCCAUGGAGGUGAAAGAUCUCUACAUUGAGAAUUACAAAACACUGCUCAAAGAUACCAGAGAUGACACAAACAAAUGGAAAACAUUCCAUGCUCUUGAAUGGAAAGAAUCAAUACUGUUAAAAUGGCCAUACUGCCCAAUGAACUUUACAGAUUCAAUGCUAUCCAUAUCAAACUACUAAUGCCAUUAUUCACAGAGCAUUCUAAAAUUCUUAUGGAACCAAAAAGGAGUCUGAAAAGCCAAGGCAAUUGUAAGCAAAAAGAACAAAGUUGGAGACAUCACAUUAUCCAGUUUCAAACUGUACUACAAUGUUACAGUAACUAAAACAGCAUGAUAUUGGUACAAAAACAGACACAUAGACCAGUGGAAUAGAAUAGAGAGCCCAGAAGUAAUUCUGCACACCUACAACCAUUUGAUCUUCAACAAAGUUGACAAAAACAAGCAAUGGGGAAGAGACUCCCUAUUCAAUAAAUGGUGCUGAGAUAACUGGCUAGCCAUAUGCAGAAGAUUGAAACUGGACCCCAUCCUUACAGUAUAUACAAAAGUCAACUCGAGAUAGAUCAAAAACUUAAAUGUAAAACCUAAAACUAUAAAAACCCUGGAAGAUAAUCUCUGAAAUACCAUUCUAGACUUAGGACCUGGCGAAGAUUUCAUGACAAAGUUGCCAAAAGUAAUCGCAACAAAAACAAAAAUUGACAAAUGGGAUCUAAUUAAACUAAAGAGCUUCUGCACAGCAAAAGAGACUAAGAGUAAACAGACAACCUAUAGAACGGGAGAAAAUAUUUGCAAACUAUGUAUCCAACAAAGGUCUAAUAUCUAGAAUCUAUAAGAAACUUAAAGACAUUAACAAACAAAAAACAAACAACCCCCCCAAAAAAGUGGGCAAAAACAUGAACAGACACUUUUUAAAUCCAUGCAGCCAACAAGCAUAUGAAAAAAUACUCAACAUCAGUAAUCAUUAGAGAAAUGCAAAUCCAAACCACAGUGAGAUACUAUCUCACACCAGUCAGAAUGACUAUUAUUAAAAACACAAAAAAUAACAGAUGCUGGUGGGGUUGCAGAGAAAAGGGAACACUUAUACGCUGUUGGUGGGAAUGUAAAUUAGUCCAGCCAUCGUGGAAAGCAGUUUGGCAAUUUCACAAAUAACUUAAACAGAAUUACCAUUUGACCCAGCAAUCCCAUUUAUAUACCCAAAGGAAUAUAAAUUGUUCUAUCAUAAAGACAUGUAUGUUUGUCACAGCACUGUUCACAAUAGCAAAGACAUGGAAUCAACCUAAAUGCUCAUCGACGGUAGACUAGAUAAAGAAAAUGUGGUACAUAUAUACACCAUGAAUUGUUACUCAGAGCUCAUUUCUUUUGCAGCAACAUGGAUGAAGUAAUUAUGCUAAGUGAACUAACAUAGCAUCAGAAAACCAAAUACUGCAUGUUCUCACUUAUCAGUGGGAGCUAAGCAAUGAGUACAUGUGGACACAAAGAAGGGAACAAUAGACACUAGGGCCUACUUGAGAGUGGAAGGUGGGAGGAGGAUGAGGGCUGAAAAGCUAUCUGUUAGGUACUAUGCUUAUUUCCUAGGUGAUGAAAUAAUCUGUACACCAUGACAUGCAAUUUACCUAUGCAACAAACCUGAACAUGUACCCUGGAACCUAAAAUAAAAUAUUAAAGAAAGAAAAGAGAGAUGAUAUUGUUUUAAGUUGCUAAGUAUGUGGUUAUUUGUUAUGCAGCAAUAGCAAAUGCGUCUACCCCGUUGCCUGAAAUUCCCUCCCAUGUAUCAUUUCUUGAAGGAUGUAUUAGUUUCUUAUUGCUGCUGUAACACAUUACCACAACUGCAUGCCUCACACAACACAAACUUGCUAUCUUACAGUUCUGGAGGCCAGGAAUCCAUACCAGGUCACACUGCACUAAAAUCAAAGCGUCAGUGGGGCUGAAUUCCUU
rnacentral:lncRNA from 1 species